rnacentral:misc_RNA from 1 species
AACGCACGAGACCUGCGGACCUGCGGAGGGAUCAUUGCCACACACGAUCCAAGAUCGACACUUUUUGUGAAAUUGUUAAAUGUAUUUUAAUGAUAGAUUAUGAGUUGAUUCUUUCUUAUGAGAGAAGAUAUGACUAAUUUAUUAUUUUAACACCAAACCAAAACUACAACUUGAAUAAUUCAAAUUGGAACUUAAAUGUUAUAUAAAGUCUGUCUUUAUUAUAACGCUAGAUUGAAAAUU